rnacentral:sRNA from 1 species
UCGACAGUGAACACUCGCCAGAAUUCAAGCAAGAAUGGUCACGAAUGAAGGAUAUGUAUGACAAUCUUAUCCUCAAAAUUCAAGAUGUCACAAGGAAACAAAUUCCACUACAACUUGAUGGAGAAUUCACAGUUUUCUCUAAUACAGAACGAAGAAACCAUCCAACCAUAAUUAAGGUAAAUAACACAUAGCAGUAAAACAUAUUCAUGCAUCUAACCAGAUGGGAUACAGAUGCUUUAAAAUUCUCAUGAUACAUGCUGUAAAAUAUAUAAUUAUAA